AUGGCCUUCUCAAAUCUUUCUACAAUCAGAUCUGACUUCCAAUUCCAAGCGAGAAACCGAGAGAGCGAGAGGGAGUCCGAGAGAAUAGAGAACCCCUGGGUUCCGUCGCUCGCGUCUCUGGGUAGACGACAUUCGAGAAUGGAGCCCUAUGGCAAAAUACGAACCCUAAAUCAUUUUCAUUGCCUUGUCCGGAGCUUGAUCCGGAUCCGAAUAAGGCAAUGAUUUAGGGUUUCGGAUGGUGCAAAGAGAACGGUGAGAUUGUCGGUCUCUGCGUCGACGAUGCAGAUGACAACAAUCCAGAACGUAGCCAUGUCGCGCGGAUCAGGAUCUGUCUCAGAUAACGGUCAUACAUUUAACUGAGCCCACUCAGCCUCAUUGACGUUCGAGUUUGGUUAUGGGAUGUUACAUUUUACGGAUGGGUUUCCUUCAAACAGUGUACCAGUUGCUUAACCUUGCUUCAGAGGGGGUGGGAAAAUGAAGGCAACGGAUGAAAGCCAAAUGGGAAAGAGGAUUGGAGUUGAAGCACGCCUGGCAUGGUUUUUUUCCAAGUGUUUUUGAAUCUCUUUUUUGUUUAGUUGUUUUAGUUCUAUGAUUAAGUGUUUCGAUUUUUAUUUUUUAUUUUUCAAUUUGCAGUUGAUAUUUUAAUUUCUUUUAAAAUAGAAAUGUCAUUACAUGUUAGGAGUUAAAACACUGGA